rnacentral:tRNA from 1 species
CAGGGAGACAACAAAAUGUUUAAUAUUAUUAUUUUGUCACCUUAGGUCGAUCGGUAUCUCACGUUUUUAAUUUAUUAAGAAUUUCAUUUCCUAAGUUUUUUCUAGGUCACACCCUUUAUUUUUCCUGGGCCAUUAGCUCAGGUGGUUAGAGCGCACCCCUGAUAAGGGUGAGGUCCCUGGUUCAAGUCCAGGAUGGCCCAUAUCUCUAUGUUGGGGGUAUAGCUCAGUUAGUAGAGCGCCUGCUUUGCAAGCAGGAUGUCAGCGGUUCGAGUCCGCUUACCUCCACUGAUUACCACCUCUUCCAUAAAUCUAUGUGAAGGAAAUGUUUUGAGUAGUGAUCAAAUUCUGAACGAAGCUAGCUUCCUAAUGAAAUCAUUAAGAUGCUGGACUCAUUGAAUUAAUUUCAUUGUUUUCAGAGAACCUUGACAACUGCAUAGAUUAUUUUUAAAGACAAUAAGCAUCUUUAAUGAUGCAGAUUUAUUAUUUGUGCGAAUGCAUUAAUAACAAUUCUAUUAAGCUGAUGCUUCAAUUUUUGAAGUUAUU